UAUUGCAAGGCGAGGAUGUGUGCGCACGGGUUUCAGGUCGUUCCGCGUGGCUGGGUUUCUGAGUGUGGAGGCGGGGAUUAGCGGGAGGUACAGCUGGAGGAGGAAGUGGAGGCCGGGCAGACCUGAUUGUCGCGCUCAGGACAAUGCUUACUGUGGCUUUCAAGGCAGAGGAAAGCACACCCGAGGGGGUCGUGUCCCACACGAGGCAGAUCUGAUGGUGCCACAAAAGACAGGUGUUUUGUCAGAUUUCAGCCACACACUUUCACACCUGCAACGCAUUAACUACAGCAGCAGUGUUAAUGAAGACCAGGUGCCUGUUCUCCAGCUUAAAUGAGGAACUGGCAUGGCGUUUGUUGUUUGCAACCUGAUGUCUACCUCCACGUCUCCGAACACUGGCCUUCUGGGUGAUGGAGAGGCUGAGCUGGAUAAAAUAGUUGGCUCGGGCCUGCGUGAUUUCCUGCCUAUGACUUGGACCACUUAGUAGUACUCUAUGCCAGCUUACGGUUUUGAGAUUCAUGCUAUCUGCCAUGGCUGAGAGUCGUGGAGGAUGCAGGUGGACCUCGGAGAACCAGAGUGCUGUGCGGCAGUCAUCUGCCCCCAGUUCCAUCUGCAGACGUUUCUGGCGUCUUCAGUGGGACAUCUAUUCCACAAGAAACCAAGAAGCGUAAAAUGAACUUGACAGUUGAAUGGAACUACUGCAGGAAGACAUUGUUAAUUUGAGAAAGGA